GCCCAGAACGAUCUCUUCAGCACAUCAGGCAAUGAGUGGGUCCUGCUGAACCUCAAUGUGACGGGCUAUUACCGGGUGAACUACGACGAAGAGAACUGGAGGAAGAUUCAGACUCAGCUGCAGAGAGACCACUCGGCCAUCCCUGUCAUCAAUCGGGCACAGAUCAUUAAUGACGCCUUCAACCUGGCCAGUGCCCAUAAGGUCCCUGUCACUCUGGCGCUGAACAACACCCUCUUCCUGAUUGAAGAGAGACAGUACAUGCCCUGGGAGGCCGCCCUGAGCAGCCUGAGCUACUUCAAGCUCAUGUUUGACCGCUCCGAGGUCUAUGGCCCCAUGAAGGUACGGAGGUGCAUGGUAGGGUUCAAGAACCAGUUCGCCCCAGUGCCUGAAAGUGCACUAUUAGGAAGUUAAUAGACUAUUGCCUACUGGACUCCUGGUCAGGGAACCUUCAAAAGCAAAACAAAAAACC
rnacentral:lncRNA from 1 species